rnacentral:rRNA from 1 species
GAUGAACGCUGGCGGCGUGCCUAAUACAUGCAAGUCGAACGCUGGAGAUCUAGCUUGCUAGAUCGAAGGAGUGGCGAACGGGUGAGUAAUACAUAAGCAACCUACCCACGAAGACUGGGAUAAUCUCUGGAAACGGGGACUAAUACCGGAUAGGUAAUCGGAAGGCAUCUUCUGGUUAUUAAAGGUUAAAAACACUGGUGGAUGGGCUUAUGGCGCAUUAGUUAGUUGGCGAGGUAACGGCCCACCAAGACGAUGAUGCGUAGCCGGCCUGAGAGGGUGAACGGCCACAUUGGGAUUGAGACACGGCCCAGACUCCUACGGGAGGCAGCAGUAGGGAAUUUUCGGCAAUGGGGGCAACCCUGACCGAGCAACGCCGCGUGAGUGAAGACGGCCUUCGGGUUGUAAAGCUCUGUUGUAAGGGAAGAACGGUAGAUAGAGAAUAUCUAAGUGACGGUACCUUACCAGAAAGCCACGGCUAACUACGUG